rnacentral:rRNA from 1 species
CCCUUAGAUGUUCUGGGCCGCACACGCGCUACACUGAAGGAGGCAGCGUGUACUCCUGGAUCGAAAGAUUUGGGUAACCCGCGAAUCUCCUUCGUGCGAGGGAUUGAGGUUUGCAAUUAUCCUUCAUGAACGAGGAAUUCCCAGUAAGUGCAAGUCAUAAGCUUGCGCUGACUACGUCCCUGCCCUUUGUACACACCGCCCGUCGCUACUACCGAUUGAAUGAUUUAGUGAGGACUUCGGACUGGGACCGAUGCGGCUUUCGGGCUGCGUCGGUAUUCUGGAAAGAUGUCCAAACUGUAUCAUUUAGAGGAAGUAAAAGUCGUAACA